UACGUAGGGAGCAAGCGUUGUUCGGAUUUACUGGGCGUAAAGGGCGCGUAGGCGGCAAUUCAAGUCAGCUGUGAAAUCUCCGGGCUUAACUCGGAACGGUCAGCUGAUACUGCUUUGCUAGAGUGCAGAAGGGGCAAUCGGAAUUCUUGGUGUAGCGGUGAAAUGCGUAGAUAUCAAGAGGAACACCUGAGGUGAAGACAGGUUGCUGGGCUGACACUGACGCUGAGGCGCGAAAGCUAGGGUAGGAAACGGG
rnacentral:rRNA from 1 species